GCUGUGGAACUCCUACGGGAGGCAGCAGCGGGGAAUUUUGGACAAUGGGGGCAACCCUGAUCCAGCAAUGCCGCGUGAGUGAAGAAGGCCUUCGGGUUGUAAAGCUCUUUUGUCAGGGAAGAAACGGUAGUAGCUAAUAUCCAUUACUAAUGACGGUACCUGAAGAAUAAGCACCGGCUAACUACGUGCCAGCAGCCGCGGUAAUACGUAGGGUGCAAGCGUUAAUCGGAAUUACUGGGCGUAAAGCGGGCGCAGGCGGUUGUGUAAGUCAGAGGUGAAAUCCCCGGGCUCAACCGGGGAAUUGCAUUUGAGACUGCACGGCUAGAGUGUGUCAGAGGGGGGUAGAAUUCCACGUGUAGCGGUGAAAUGCGUAGAUAUGUGGAGGAAUACCGGUGGCGAAGGCAGCCCCCUGGGAUAACACUGACGCUCAGGCACGAAAGCGUGGGGAGCAAACAGGAUUAGAUACCCCGGUAGUCCUACCACGU
rnacentral:rRNA from 1 species